rnacentral:ncRNA from 1 species
UGGACCAUUGGAUGUUGAAGUGACGCAGGAGACUUAAAUCGACUGGUUGCCCCAAUGUUUAACUAACCCUGAGGUGCCCAGUGGCAGGGGACCGUUGCCUGCGGAAGUCGCUUGCUGAUGCUCCCCGUUGGAGAUAGCUAUGCGUUGCUCCCUUGUCCCAGCUUAUUGACUGUUGCUUAUCAGCCUCCCGACUGUAUACUGGACAGUGGUCUCUUAGUGUUGCAAUGCUUGAUUAUCUGGGGCAUUUCUCCCCGAUUUGUAUCGUCAUUUUGGGUAUAGUAAACACUAUCUAGCCAAAUGCCUCGUCAUCUAAUAAGUGACGCGCAUGAAUGGAUUAACGAGAUUCCUACUGUCCCUAUCUACUAUCUAGCGAAACCACAGCCAAGGGAACGGGCUUGGCAGAAUCAGCGGGGAAAGAAGACCCUGUUGAGCUUGACUCUAGUCCGACUCUGUGAAGAGACAUGGUGGGUGUAGUAAUAAGUGGGAGGCGGGAAUCGCCCUUCGGGGUAUCUCAUUUGACAAUAAAAGACCACUCCCAUUAUUGUUUCUUUACUUAUUCAGUGAAGUGAGAACUGUCAAUUAUAUUCCAUGUUGACAUUAAGCACGCGUUAGUGCGUUGGUCUCACCCCGUGUGUGGCUGGCGUGCCAGCGUCUUGGUCGCUACUAUCUGGCCUGGGCUAGUGGUAUGCGUGUUUUGCCCUCUACUGCCUGUAGGCUGUUGCCGCAAAGUGGCAUUCCAUAGCUGGUAGACGGUGGGCGCGUGUGUCCGGUUUGGGUGCUAUCAGGCAGGUUUGGCGACGUGCGACCCGAUCUGAAGAUAGUGUCAGGUGGGGAGUUUGACUGGGGCUGUACAUCUGUCAAAUCGUAACGCAGGUGUCCCAAGGUGAGCUCAGCCGGGACAGAAACCUGGCAUAGGGUAUAAGGGCAAAAGCUUACUUGAUUUUGAUUUUCAGUAAGAACACAGACCGUGAAAGCGUGGCCAAGCGAUCCUUUUGAUCAACCGAUAUUCAAAGUUUGAAGCAAGAGGUGUCAAAAAAGUUACCACAGGAAUAACUGGCUUGUGGUGGCCAAGCGUUCAUAGCGACGUCGCUUUUUGAUCCUUCG